GACGAACGCUGGCGGCGUGCCUAAUACAUGCAAGUAGAACGCUGAAGAGAGGAGCUUGCUCUUCUUGGAUGAGUUGCGAACGGGUGAGUAACGCGUAGGUAACCUGCCUUGUAGCGGGGGAUAACUAUUGGAAACGAUAGCUAAUACCGCAUAACAAUGGAUGACACAUGUCAUUUAUUUGAAAGGGGCAAUUGCUCCACUACAAGAUGGACCUGCGUUGUAUUAGCUAGUAGGUGAGGUAACGGCUCACCUAGGCGACGAUACAUACCGACCUGAGAGGGUGAUCGGCCCCUGGGACUAACCGGCCCAGACUCCUACGGGAGGCACAGUAGGGAAUCUUCGGCAAUGGGGGCAACCCUGACCGAGCACGCCGCGUGAGUGAAGAAGGUUUUCGGAUCGUAAAGCUCUGUUGUAAGUCAAGAACGAGUGUGAGAGUGGAAAGUUCACAC
rnacentral:rRNA from 1 species